rnacentral:rRNA from 1 species
GACGAACGCUGGCGGCGUGCUUAACACAUGCAAGUCGUACGGUAAGGCCCUUUCGGGGGUCCACGAGUGGCGAACGGGUGAGUAACACGUGAGUAACCUGCCCACAACUUUGGGAUAACGCUAGGAAACUGGUGCUAAUACUGGAUAUGUGCUCCUGCUGCAUGGUGGGGGUUGGAAAGCUCCGGCGGUUGUGGAUGGACUCGCGGCCUAUCAGCUCGUUGGUGGGGUAGUGGCCUACCAAGGCGGCGACGGGUAGCCGGACUGAGGGGGUGACCGGCGACAUAGAGACCGAGGGGCGGCCCAAGCUGCGAAGGGUGGGAGAAGUGGGGAAUAUUGAACGAGGGGCGCAAGGCUGGUGCAGAAGCGCCGCGUGCGGGAAAACGGUCUUCGGGGUGAAAACCGCUUUCAGCAGGGACGAAGCUUUUUGUGACGGUACCUGCAGAAAAAGCACCGGCUAACUACGUG